ACGCUUUGUGGUUCAACUGAUUUGAAGAGCUUGCUCAGAUAUGACGAUGGACAUUGCAAAGAGUGGCGAACGGGUGAGUAACACGUGGGAAACCUACCUCUUAGCAGGGGAUAACAUUUGGAAACAGAUGCUAAUACCGUAUAACAAUGACAACCGCAUGGUUGUUAUUUAAAAGAUGGUUCUGCUAUCACUAAGAGAUGGUCCCGCGGUGCAUUAGCUAGUUGGUAAGGUAAUGGCUUACCAAGGCGAUGAUGCAUAGCCGAGUUGAGAGACUGAUCGGCCACAAUGGGACUGAGACACGGCCCAUACUCCUACGGGAGGCAGCAGUAGGGAAUCUUCCACAAUGGGCGAAAGCCUGAUGGAGCAACGCCGCGUGUGUGAUGAAGGGUUUCGGCUCGUAAAACACUGUUGUAAGAGAAGAAUGACAUUGAGAGUAACUGUUCAAUGUGUGACGGUAUCUUACCAGAAAGGAACGGCUAAAUACGUGCCAGCAGCCGCGGUAAUACGUAUGUUCCAAGCGUUAUCCGGAUUUAUUGGGCGUAAAGCGAGCGCAGACGGUUAUUUAAGUCUGAAGUGAAAGCCCUCAGCUCAACUGAGGAAUUGCUUUGGAAACUGGAUGACUUGAGUGCAGUAGAGGAAAGUGGAACUCCAUGUGUAGCGGUGAAAUGCGUAGAUAUAUGGAAGAACACCAGUGGCGAAGGCGGCUUUCUGGACUGUAACUGACGUUGAGGCUCGAAAGUGUGGGUAGCAAACAGGAUUAGAUACCCUGGUAGUCCACACCGUAAACGAUGAGUGCUAGGUGUUUGAGGGUUUCCGCCCUUAAGUGCCGCAGCUAACGCAUUAAGCACUCCGCCUGGGGAGUACGACCGCAAGGUUGAAACUCAAAGGAAUUGACGGGGACCCGCACAAGCGGUGGAGCAUGUGGUUUAAUUCGAAGCAACGCGAAGAACCUUACCAGGUCUUGACAUCCCUUGACAACUCCAGAGAUGGAGCGUUCCCUUCGGGGACAAGGUGACAGGUGGUGCAUGGUUGUCGUCAGCUCGUGUCGUGAGAUGUUGGGUUAAGUCCCGCAACGAGCGCAACCCUUAUUACUAGUUGCCAGCAUUCAGUUGGGCACUCUAGUGAGACUGCCGGUGACAAACCGGAGGAAGGUGGGGAUGACGUCAAAUCAUCAUGCCCCUUAUGACCUGGGCUACACACGUGCUACAAUGGCGUAUACAACGAGUUGCCAACCCGCGAGGGUGAGCUAAUCUCUUAAAGUACGUCUCAGUUCGGAUUGUAGGCUGCAACUCGCCUACAUGAAGUCGGAAUCGCUAGUAAUCGCGGAUCAGCACGCCGCGGUGAAUACGUUCCCGGGUCUUGUACACACCGCCCGUCACACCAUGAGAGUUUGUAACACCCAAAGCCGGUGGG
rnacentral:rRNA from 1 species